rnacentral:rRNA from 1 species
GAUGAACGCUGGCGGCGUGCCUAAUACAUGCAAGUCGAGCGAACAGACGAGGAGCUUGCUCCUCUGACGUUAGCGGCGGACGGGUGAGUAACACGUGGAUAACCUACCUAUAAGACUGGGAUAACUUCGGGAAACCGGAGCUAAUACCGGAUAAUAUAUUGAACCGCAUGGUUCAAUAGUGAAAGACGGUUUUGCUGUCACUUAUAGAUGGAUCCGCGCCGCAUUAGCUAGUUGGUAAGGUAACGGCUUACCAAGGCAACGAUGCGUAGCCGACCUGAGAGGGUGAUCGGCCACCCGGGACCGGAGCAACGGCCCAGCUCCUACGGGGAGGCAGCGGAAGGAAAUCUCCGGCAAGGGGCGAAACCUUGAGGGAGAAACGCGGGGGAGGUGAUGAAGUGUUUCGAUUCGUAAACCCCUGUUAUUAGGGAAGAAAAAAGGUGUAAGUACCAAUGCAGGUUUUGAGGGUACUAAAUAAGAAAGCACGGCUAACUACGUG